ensembl:lncRNA
CAGAAGGUGACCCCAAUGGCAGAGGUUCAGUGCUGUGCCUGUAGUGCAAGAACAGCACAGGGGUAGAGGGAGCGCUGGUGCUGCUCAUCACACAGAUGGGGAGUGCAAAUUGAAGACGUUAUCAUCUUCCAACUUCAUACACGACGUGCAAGACAGAAGAAAACCUCCAAGCCACCAGCACUUCCUCUGCAGCUUCCACAAAAGGAGGGCAGCCAAGGCAGGAGAAGUGGGGAGGCCGUUCUUCCUCCAGCCCAACCCCGAUGCGUGCUGAGCUUUUGGUUCUCCACACAACCACAGCGUGGCACGAAGCAUUACCAGCAUCUCAGACGUGGAAUGAGUUGGAGAGGACCUCAAUGACACCCACGUGCCAUCCCCAGCAGCAGGACACAGCAGCACCAGCUGCCUCCCCUGGGCCUCACCCCACUGAGCCCACUGGCAGCACAGCUUUGGCCCCUCGCUCAGCACAGCCCCAGCUCUGCAGAUCCCCCCAUGUAAGACA